rnacentral:rRNA from 1 species
CGCGUAGGCGGUAAUGUAAGUCAGACGUGAAAUCCUUCGGCUCAACUGAAGAACUGCGUCUGAAACUGCAUGACUAGAGUGCAGAAGAGGAAAACGGAAUUCCAGGUGUAGAGGUGAAAUUCGUAGAUAUCUGGAGGAACACCGGUGGCGAAGGCGGUUUCCUGGUCUGACACUGACGCUGAGGCGCGAAAGCGUGGGGAGCAAACAGGAUUAGAUACCCUGGUAGUCCACGCCGUAAACGGUGGGUACUGGGUGUGGGAGGUGUAAUGCCUUCUGUGCCGAAGCUAACGCGUUAAGUACCCCGCCUGGGGAGUACGGCCGCAAGGUUGAA